UACUGAUGUUGAGGGCAUUGGCUAAGUAAUUCUCUAUAUCUUUCCCAAGCCUCAUGUAAUUCUUCAUCCUCCUGCUGUUUGAAAUCAUGAAUAUGUCUUCUCAGCU
rnacentral:snoRNA from 1 species